UAAGCGACUAAGCGUACACGGUGGAUGCCCUGGCAGUCAGAGGCGAUGAAGGACGUGCUAAUCUGCGAUAAGCGUCGGUAAGGUGAUAUGAACCGUUAUAACCGGCGAUUUCCGAAUGGGGAAACCCAGUGUGUUUCGACACACUAUCAUUAACUGAAUCCAUAGGUUAAUGGGGCGAACCGGGGGAACUGAAACAUCUAAGUACCCCGAGGAAAAGAAAUCAACCGAGAUUCCCCCAGUAGCGGCGAGCGAACGGGGAGCAGCCCAGAGCCUGAAUCAGUGUGUGUGUUAGUGGAAGCGUCUGGAAAGGCGCGCGAUACAGGGUGACAGCCCCGUACACAAAAAUGCACAUGCUGUGAGCUCGAUGAGUAGGGCGGGACACGUGGUAUCCUGUCUGAAUAUGGGGGGACCAUCCUCCAAGGCUAAAUACUCCUGACUGGCCGAUAGUGAACCAGUACCGUGAGGGAAAGGCGAAAAGAACCCCGGCGAGGGGAGUGAAAAGGAACCUGAAACCGUGUACGUACAAGCAGUGGGAGCACGCUUAGGCGUGUGACUGCGUACCUUUUGUAUAAUGGGUCAGCGACUUAUAUUCUGUAGCAAGGUUAACCGAAUAGGGGAGCCGAAGGGAAACCGAGUCUUAACUGGGCGUUAAGUUGCAGGGUAUAGACCCGAAACCCGGUGAUCUAGCCAUGGGCAGGUUGAAGGUUGGGUAACACUAACUGGAGGACCGAACCGACUAAUGUUGAAAAAUUAGCGGAUGACUUGUGGCUGGGGGUGAAAGGCCAAUCAAACCGGGAGAUAGCUGGUUCUCCCCGAAAGCUAUUUAGGUAGCGCCUCGUGAAUUCAUCUCCGGGGGUAGAGCACUGUUUCGGCAAGGGGGUCAUCCCGACUUACCAACCCGAUGCAAACUGCGAAUACCGGAGAAUGUUAUCACGGGAGACACACGGCGGGUGCUAACGUCCGUCGUGAAGAGGGAAACAACCCAGACCGCCAGCUAAGGUCCCAAAGUCAUGGUUAAGUGGGAAACGAUGUGGGAAGGCCCAGACAGCCAGGAUGUUGGCUUAGAAGCAGCCAUCAUUUAAAGAAAGCGUAAUAGCUCACUGGUCGAGUCGGCCUGCGCGGAAGAUGUAACGGGGCUAAACCAUGCACCGAAGCUGCGGCAGCGACACUAUGUGUUGUUGGGUAGGGGAGCGUUCUGUAAGCCUGUGAAGGUGUACUGUGAGGUAUGCUGGAGGUAUCAGAAGUGCGAAUGCUGACAUAAGUAACGAUAAAGCGGGUGAAAAGCCCGCUCGCCGGAAGACCAAGGGUUCCUGUCCAACGUUAAUCGGGGCAGGGUGAGUCGACCCCUAAGGCGAGGCCGAAAGGCGUAGUCGAUGGGAAACAGGUUAAUAUUCCUGUACUUGGUGUUACUGCGAAGGGGGGACGGAGAAGGCUAUGUUGGCCGGGCGACGGUUGUCCCGGUUUAAGCGUGUAGGCUGGUUUUCCAGGCAAAUCCGGAAAAUCAAGGCUGAGGCGUGAUGACGAGGCACUACGGUGCUGAAGCAACAAAUGCCCUGCUUCCAGGAAAAGCCUCUAAGCAUCAGGUAACAUCAAAUCGUACCCCAAACCGACACAGGUGGUCAGGUAGAGAAUACCAAGGCGCUUGAGAGAACUCGGGUGAAGGAACUAGGCAAAAUGGUGCCGUAACUUCGGGAGAAGGCACGCUGAUAUGUAGGUGAAGUCCCUCGCGGAUGGAGCUGAAAUCAGUCGAAGAUACCAGCUGGCUGCAACUGUUUAUUAAAAACACAGCACUGUGCAAACACGAAAGUGGACGUAUACGGUGUGACGCCUGCCCGGUGCCGGAAGGUUAAUUGAUGGGGUUAGCGCAAGCGAAGCUCUUGAUCGAAGCCCCGGUAAACGGCGGCCGUAACUAUAACGGUCCUAAGGUAGCGAAAUUCCUUGUCGGGUAAGUUCCGACCUGCACGAAUGGCGUAAUGAUGGCCAGGCUGUCUCCACCCGAGACUCAGUGAAAUUGAACUCGCUGUGAAGAUGCAGUGUACCCGCGGCAAGACGGAAAGACCCCGUGAACCUUUACUAUAGCUUGACACUGAACAUUGAGCCUUGAUGUGUAGGAUAGGUGGGAGGCUUUGAAGUGUGGACGCCAGUCUGCAUGGAGCCGACCUUGAAAUACCACCCUUUAAUGUUUGAUGUUCUAACGUUGACCCGUAAUCCGGGUUGCGGACAGUGUCUGGUGGGUAGUUUGACUGGGGCGGUCUCCUCCUAAAGAGUAACGGAGGAGCACGAAGGUUGGCUAAUCCUGGUCGGACAUCAGGAGGUUAGUGCAAUGGCAUAAGCCAGCUUGACUGCGAGCGUGACGGCGCGAGCAGGUGCGAAAGCAGGUCAUAGUGAUCCGGUGGUUCUGAAUGGAAGGGCCAUCGCUCAACGGAUAAAAGGUACUCCGGGGAUAACAGGCUGAUACCGCCCAAGAGUUCAUAUCGACGGCGGUGUUUGGCACCUCGAUGUCGGCUCAUCACAUCCUGGGGCUGAAGUAGGUCCCAAGGGUAUGGCUGUUCGCCAUUUAAAGUGGUACGCGAGCUGGGUUUAGAACGUCGUGAGACAGUUCGGUCCCUAUCUGCCGUGGGCGCUGGAGAACUGAGGGGGGCUGCUCCUAGUACGAGAGGACCGGAGUGGACGCAUCACUGGUGUUCGGGUUGUCAUGCCAAUGGCACUGCCCGGUAGCUAAAUGCGGAAGAGAUAAGUGCUGAAAGCAUCUAAGCACGAAACUUGCCCCGAGAUGAGUUCUCCCUGACUCCUUGAGAGUCCUGAAGGAACGUUGAAGACGACGACGUUGAUAGGCCGGGUGUGUAAGCGCAGCGAUGCGUUGAGCUAACCGGUACUAAUGAACCGUGAGGCUUAACCU
rnacentral:rRNA from 1 species